GACGAACGCUGGCGGCGUGCCUAACACAUGCAAGUCAAGGCGGUAGCAAUACCGACUGGCGCACGGGUGCGGAACACGUAGGUAAUCUGCCCUUUAGGGGAGAACAACUCAUCGAAAGGUGAGCUAAAUCUCCGUAAUGUUUUACUAUGGCAUCAUAGUUCAACCAAGUUUUCUAAGGGAUGAGCCUGCGUCUGAUUAGCUAGUUGGUGAGGUAACUGCUCACCAAGGCUACGAUCAGUAGCUGGUCUGAGAGGAUGAUCAGCCACAUUGGGACUGAGACACGGCCCAGACUCC
rnacentral:rRNA from 1 species